GGAAAGGCGCGCGAUACAGGGUGACAGCCCCGUACACAAAAAUGCACAUGCUGUGAGCUCGAUGAGUAGGGCGGGACACGUGGUAUCCUGUCUGAAUAUGGGGGGACCAUCCUCCAAGGCUAAAUACUCCUGACUGACCGAUAGUGAACCAGUACCGUGAGGGAAAGGCGAAAAGAACCCCGGCGAGGGGAGUGAAAAAGAACCUGAAACCGUGUACGUACAAGCAGUGGGAGCACGCUUAGGCGUGUGACUGCGUACCUUUUGUAUAAUGGGUCAGCGACUUAUAUUCUGUAGCAAGGUUAACCGAAUAGGGGAGCCGAAGGGAAACCGAGUCUUAACUGGGCGUUAAGUUGCAGGGUAUAGACCCGAAACCCGGUGAUCUAGCCAUGGGCAGGUUGAAGGUUGGGUAACACUAACUGGAGGACCGAACCGACUAAUGUUGAAAAAUUAGCGGAUGACUUGUGGCUGGGGGUGAAAGGCCAAUCAAACCGGGAGAUAGCUGGUUCUCCCCGAAAGCUAUUUAGGUAGCGCCUCGUGAAUUCAUCUCCGGGGGUAGAGCACUGUUUCGGCAAGGGGGUCAUCCCGACUUACCAACCCGAUGCAAACUGCGAAUACCGGAGAAUGUUAUCACGGGAGACACACGGCGGGUGCUAACGUCCGUCGUGAAGAGGGAAACAACCCAGACCGCCAGCUAAGGUCCCAAAGUCAUGGUUAAGUGGGAAACGAUGUGGGAAGGCCCAGACAGCCAGGAUGUUGGCUUAGAAGCAGCCAUCAUUUAAAGAAAGCGUAAUAGCUCACUGGUCGAGUCGGCCUGCGCGGAAGAUGUAACGGGGCUAAACCAUGCACCGAAGCUGCGGCAGCGACGCUGAUGCGUUGUUGGGUAGGGGAGCGUUCUGUAAGCCUGCGAAGGUGUGCUGUGAGGCAUGCUGGAGGUAUCAGAAGUGCGAAUGCUGACAUAAGUAACGAUAAAGCGGGUGAAAAGCCCGCUCGCCGGAAGACCAAGGGUUCCUGUCCAACGUUAAUCGGGGCAGGGUGAGUCGACCCCUAAGGCGAGGCCGAAAGGCGUAGUCGAUGGGAAACAGGUUAAUAUUCC
rnacentral:rRNA from 1 species